ensembl:snoRNA
AUCCUUUUGUAGUUCAUGAGCAUGAUGACUGGGUGUUCCUGCGCAUGUGUGAGAUGUGCCACUCUCUGAAGCUUGUUACAACAUUGGCACCUUACUUGUCUAACC